rnacentral:rRNA from 1 species
GAUGAACGCUGACAGAAUGCUUAACACAUGCAAGUCUACUUGAUCCUUCGGGUGAUGGUGGCGGACGGGUGAGUAACGCGUAAAGAACUUGCCCUGCAGUCUGGGACAACAUUUAGAAACGAAUGCUAAUACCGGAUAUUAUGUGAGUUUCGCAUGAAAUUCAUAUGAAAGCUAUAUGCGCUGCAGGAGAGCUUUGCGUCCUAUUAGCUAGUUGGUGAGGUAACGGCUCACCAAGGCGAUGAUAGGUAGCCGGCCUGAGAGGGUGAACGGCCACAAGGGGACUGAGACACGGCCCUUACUCCCACGGGAGGCAGCAGUGGGGAAUAUUGGACAAUGGACCAAAAGUCUGAUCCAGCAAUUCUGUGUGCACGAUGAAGUUUUUCGGAAUGUAAAGUGCUUUCAGUUGGGACGAAGUAAGUGACGGUACCAACAGAAGAAGCGACGGCUAAAUACGUGCCAGCAGCCGCAGUAA